UCCUCGGUAGCUCAGUUGGUAGAGCACACGACUGUUAAUCGUUAGGUCACAGGUUCGAGUCCUGUCCGAGGAGCCA
rnacentral:tRNA from 1 species